UGGGGAAUAUUGCACAAUGGGCGAAAGCCUGAUGCAGCGACGCCGCGUGAACGAAGAAGUAUUUCGGUAUGUAAAGCUCUAUCAGCAGGGAAGAAGAAAUGACGGUACCUGACUAAGAAGCACCGGCUAAAUACGUGCCAGCAGCCGCGGUAAUACGUAUGGUGCAAGCGUUAUCCGGAUUUACUGGGUGUAAAGGGAGCGUAGGCGGUUUUAUAAGUCUGAUGUGAAAGCCCGGGGCUCAACCCCGGGAUUGCAUUGGAAACUGUAGAACUAGAGUGUCGGAGGGGUAAGUGGAAUUCCUAGUGUAGCGGUGAAAUGCGUAGAUAUUAGGAGGAACACCAGUGGCGAAGGCGGCUUACUGGACGAUUACUGACGCUGAGGCUCGAAAGCGUGGGGAGCAAACAGGAUUAGA
rnacentral:rRNA from 1 species